rnacentral:misc_RNA from 1 species
GAUGAAGAACGCAGCGAAAUGCGAUAAGUAAUGUGAAUUGCAGAAUUCAGUGAAUCAUCGAAUCUUUGAACGCACAUUGCGCCCUCUGGUAUUCCGGGGGGCAUGCCUGUUCGAGCGUCAUUAUAACCACUCAAGCUCUCGCUUGGUAUUGGGGUUCGCGGUUCCGCGGCCCCUAAAACCAGUGGCGGUGCCUGUCGGCUCUACGCGUAGUAAUACUCCUCGCGAUUGAGUCCGGUAGGUCUACUUGCCAGCAACCCCCAAUUUUUACAGGUUGACCUCGGAUCAGGUAGGGAUACCCGCUGAACUUAAGCAUAUCAAUAAGCGGAGGA